UACAGAGGGUGCAAGCGUUAAUCGGAAUUACUGGGCGUAAAGCGUGCGUAGUCGGUUAUUUAAGUCGGGCGUGAAAGCCCCGGGCUCAACCUGGGAAUUGCGUUCGAUACUGGAUAGCUAGAGUUCGGCAGAGGGAAGCGGAAUUUCGGGUGUAGCGGUGAAAAUGCGUAGAUAUCCGAAGGAACAUCAGUGGCGAAAGCGGCUUCCUGGACCAGAACUGACGAUCAGGCACGAAAGCGUGGGGAGCAAACAGG
rnacentral:rRNA from 1 species